UACGUAGGGUGCAAGCGUUGUCCGGAAUUAUUGGGCGUAAAGAGCGUGUAGGCGGCCCGAUUAGUCCGCUGUGAAAGUCCAGGGCUCAACCCUGGAAUGCCGGUGGAUACUGUCGGGCUAGAGUCCGGAAGGGGCGAGUGGAAUUCCUGGUGUAGCGGUGAAAUGCGCAGAUAUCAGGAGGAACACCAGUAGUCGGCAAGGCAGCUCGCUGGGCGUAGAUUGACGCUCGAGGCACGAAGACGUGGGGGGAGCAAACAGG
rnacentral:rRNA from 1 species